GACGAACGCUGGCGGCGUGCUUAACACAUGCAAGUCGAACGACGUGGCGAACGGGUGAGUAACGCGUAAUCAACCUGCCCUUCAGAGGGGUACAACAGUUGGAAACGACCGCUACUACCGCAUACUGAAGUCGUAGUUUGCGUCUGAUUCGCUAGUUGGGGGGGUAACGGCCAACCAAGGCAAUGGUCAGUAGCCGGGCUGAGAGGAGGAAGUGCCAAAUUGGGACGGGGACAAGGCCCAGAAUCCUACGGGAGGCAGCAGUGGGGAAUGUUCCGCAAUGGACGAAAGUCUGACGGAGCAACGCCGCGUGAGUGAUGACGGCCUUCGGGUUGGAAAGCUCUGUUAAUCGGGACGCGGUACCGGAAUAGAAAGCCACGGCUAACUACGUGCCAGCCGCCGCGGUAAUUC
rnacentral:rRNA from 1 species